rnacentral:ncRNA from 1 species
AUGAGCCGUAUGAGGUAGGAAACCCUCAAGUACGGUUCUAAGGGAAGGAAUUUAUCCACCUAGUCCGAC